GUAUCCAAACUUCGACAGUUGGUUGCUGCUGCUCCACGCUGGAGUCGCUGCGCCGCCGCCGGGAUCAUGGUGUUCUACUUCACCAGCAGCAGCGUUAACUCAUCUGCUUACACUAUUUACAUGGGAAAAGAUAAAUAUGAAAAUGAGGAUCUAAUAAAGUAUGGCUGGCCUGAAGAUAUUUGGUUUCAUGUGGACAAACUCUCUUCGGCUCAUGUAUAUCUUCGAUUACAUAAGAUAUGUGGGACCUUGGUCCAGUUACUUACCCUCGCUAAGCUUCAUUUUCUUCAUUGGUAAAGUGAGGAUAAUACUAUCCAUUUCAUAUGGCCGUUUACUUAGUACCUGGCAUGUGGGGGAGAAGAUAGAAGACAUUCCAAAGGAAGUCCUGAUGGACUGUGCGCAUCUUGUGAAGGCCAACAGCAUUCAAGGCUGCAAGAUGAACAACGUUAAUGUGGUAUAUACACCGUGGUCUAACCUGAAGAAAACACCCGACAUGGAUGUGGGGCAGAUUGGCUUUCACAGGCAGAAGGACGUGAGUAUUGUGACAGUGGAGAAGAAAGUGAAUGAGAUUUUGAACCGAUUAGAAAAGACCAAAAUGGAGCGGUUCCCGGACCUAGCAGCAGAGAAGGAAUGCAGAGACCGUGAGGAGAGGAAUGAGAAAAAAGCCCAAAUUCAGGAAAUGAAAAAGAAAGAAAAGGAAGAGAUGAAGAAGAAGAGGGAAAUGGAUGAACUUAGGAGCUAUUCAUCACUAAUGAAAGUUGAGAAUAUGUCUUCAAAUCAGGAUGGCAAUGAUUCAGAUGAAUUCAUGUGAAUGGAGAAAAGGACCUUUUAAAGAUGUGAAUUUAGGGACAGUUGCAGACGUUUUGAUUUCAUCUAUGUUCUGAGUUAUAAAAAACAAAACAAAACAAAUAUCUACUCGAGAGUUUUUAAAAAUAUUGUUCCCUUUUAUGCUGACAGAGAGGAUCUCAUAUAUAUAUAUAUACAUAUAUAUAUAUAUAUACACACACACAUAUAUAUAUAUAGAAUAAUAGUUGGACUUGAAGACAGCAUAUAACUUCAGGAAAGUGAAAAUAUUUUUGCCAGAACAUGACAUGUCUUCAUACCUCCUGAAAGCUGGCUGCCCUUGUUCUUGGGAUGGACUUUAGAAUGAACCAACUCUGAAAACUAUUUCUGGUACUGUAGUCUGUCUCUGAAAACAGAUGUCUUGAAAAGCUUUUUAUAUUCUUAAAAUAGCUUCACUUCCGUUAAGAAGAAUGUAUUGGUGAGCAAUAUGUAGCAGUGUUCCCCUCACCCUCGAUUUCCUGAUUAGCAUAAAAGCGUAUGGGUUUUGAAGAUGAUAGUGAUAUUUUCAGAAAAUUGGCUGGCUUCAAUAUUCAUGUUCCACUGUGUUGUCAGAGUCGAUUAGCAGAGUUGUCCUCGGCUCUCAGCUUGCCCUGGCUUCUACAUUCUCUGUCCUUACUUUUGCUGAGUGAGGCCCUCCACCUAGUUCCCAUCAUACUUCAAGAAAUAGUCGGUAUUAAUCAAGCAAGGUUGGGCCUUGUGGCAGUUUUUACCUGAGCACCAGAUAACCCAGGUCUCGUACAUUAUAAUUCCAAGGCCUGGACUCAUUUCUCAGCACUGAGGGGAGAAACAGGAAGGGCUGCUCUGUGAAUCAUUUGGAAGAUGUAGGUUACCUAAUCUUCAUCUUGGAAUACAGCAUGAAGCAAACGUUCACGUUGUAAUUAUGAUUUUAGAAAGAAAUAAGCAUUUCAUUAGCCAGCCAAGUCAUUUGUUUAUUUACUUUGAAAGAAUAUUUAUUUUGAGUUGUAACCACAGAGUUCAGAUUUCUGAAUUGUAGACUCAGUAACUUAAUAUGUAUAAUAACAGUACUACUCAUUCAAACUACCUGCUCUCCAGUGUGUUUCUGAAUAGAAAAUAUAUUUUUAUUGAAGCAUGUAAGGCAACCCCUUGUAGAAAGAGACAAAAACCAAACAAUGAAAGGGAAAGAGAACAAAGCCUCCAGGUCAGGAGGCAUACAAAUUCACAUUUUAACCACACCCAGAACUGUAUAUGCAGCAUUCUUCUUCUAAGCCAGCAAAAAUUAUCUCCAACAAAUAUUCUAUCUGUAAUAGCACUUUGGGACUGUGGGUAAAACCGAAAGACUUCAGUGUUUCUAUUUAUCCCAAGUUGGUGUAUGGGGUUGAACUGGAAAAUUCCCUGAGGCAUAACUUGGCCAAAUUUUGAGAUGGAAUAUGGGAGACAACUCAAGAAAUUAGUGAGAGAGAAUUUCUAAUGAUGUUCAGCCUGCAGUUCUAUGAUUUAAAAAUGUAAUAAUAAAGAAUCAUUUUUUGUUAGGAAGGACAUUGAUACAUAAAUUCUUAGAAUUUGCUUUGCUCCAAGAGCUGGUUUUGACGGGGGCUGUGGCUGUAAAAACCUUCGUCUGUCAUAGGCUCGAUCUGGCAGGUUCUACAGGGGUAUGAACUCCUCCCUCACUGAUAAACACGUCUCUCCCCCAGGCGCCCCCUAAGAAGUGGACAGCCUUUCCCAGACACACUGUUGAGGGAGGGUAAGUUAGUUGCCCUGCCCUCCUGCCUGGUUACUGCCGGCGCUUCUUUGCUCUGCUGCAAACAUCUAAACAGGAGAUUUUGCCUCUAGCAGCACCUGUGCACCUCAGCUUUCUACUUUCUGAAGGACUCCUCUGUAUCCCACAUAACAUCACAUAUAGAUAGUUUUUGAAGACUAUGUCUAUUUUUACUGUAGUGUGAGAGAUCCUGGGGUCCAAAUUUUAAAUGUUUCAUAACUCACAAUUUCUGCUGGUUUAAAAUGCCAAGGACUCCUGAAUUCUCUGAGUUGAAUUCCAAGCUCUUGAACCUUUUCAGCUGCUCCGUGCUGAUUUCUUCCUACCACUGCUUGUGUGUUGUGUAGUUUUUUCCCCACAGCUCUCUUGGUCCCAGCGAAAGUAGGGGCCUUUUCUUUUGAGGGCAUUGGUUCAGUGGCAACAGGUCAGACUGUUGGCACAGACGUCAUUUCAUUUCCUGCUGUUGGCAUGCUUCCUAAACCUCCUAUAGAAAAAUUCCAAAUUAUUGGGAUUUUUAUGAGCUGUGCCCUUGAUCACUGAAUUCAUGCAUCCUGAGGAAUUCUCUUUUCAACUCUGCCUCCAGUUUCCCCACUUUGUUUGAUCUGCAUGCAGGUGAGGUUCCAUUAUCAUUGAAUUUACUUCACAGACUCUGCCCUGUUCUAUUCCUAUAGUUUUAGAAUUCGUUUCUUACCCACCUUUGUUUAUAUAGAGUCCCGAUCUUUGGGCAAGGGAGCCAUGUAACAGUGCUUGUGCUGGAACAGAUGUUGGGAAGUUUACCAAAGUGUGGAAGGUUUGUACAUUAACAGAAGGUGACAGGCUUUAGUUGAACCCUUUCCUUAUCUUCUGUUUGUUGUAUUUUUUAACUUUCUUGAAGCGUGGACUUGGGUGAACCUUUUAACUCUUUAGUGCUGAUGGUUUCCCCCAUUCACGAAGGAAGGGGUCCACACAGACAAAAAGAUUAGAGAGGGAGAGUUCAGCUCUAGCCUCCAGUUUAAGAACAAAGCUCUUCCUCCCACUUUUGCAUCUGUCUGAGAGGGGAAGCUCUUGUUUUCCAGGCUGGAACAGAUUAUGGGAAAAACUGAGCAGGAGGGAGCAAUGGAACACUUGUCCAGUUUUUCUUGAGCUGUAAUAUUGAAGCCUGCUUUUUCUGUUUGAAGUACUGCAUUGUGAAGAAUAAAUCCUAUACUCAGAAUGAUUACAGUAGAGUGAGUGGGUAACCUUUUGAUUUUCAAGUAAACUGUAAAACAAACUGGAAACAAAAGUGGAAAAUUAGAAAUUUAAACUCCAAGCUAAAUGUCAGCCUCAACCUGUCAUAACUCCAGCAAGUAUGUGACAGCUCAGAAAUGGGGACAGCGCUGGGCCCACAGGCUCUUCUUCGCCAGGCUCUCGGUACAGCACCAGGCAAGAGACUUAUGUGCAUCACAUCAUUUUACAAAGGAGACGAUGCCAACCGCAUAUUCAUCGUGUCCUGGAUGGAUGGUGGUUGUUCUUUAUCUGGACUCAGUGAGCUUGGAGAUUCUGCCUCAUGGCCUGGAUGUACCAGUGGCUCAGCGAAGCAGCCAUGAUGGGAGAGGAUCUUCUCUCUGCCUUUGUGCUCUGGGCCAUUUCAUCCAAGAGAAAAUGCACAGCCCCUCCCCAGAUAUCACACCUGUGUGCUGGGGCUUAGAGAAAGAAUCAGCUUCUAGCUUUUCUUUGCAGGCAUUUUGCACAGGUUUCAUCGACGCAGAGAAUUUUGUAGAAUCGUAGCCUGUGGAGGUUGGAAGGUUCCUGAGAGAUCAUCUAAGCUGAUGGUACUCUUCUGGGCCCUUUACACCAUCCUGAAACAAUGCACCCAGAGACGGAAAGCUCAUUACUUUAUAAAGACAUUUGGCGAUUAGAAAGUUACUUUAUUGAGCCAAAGUCAGCCUCACGGUGACUUCUACCCAUUAUUUUGUCUUCUGGACAUGGGGCUCAAAAGUUUGGAAGACAGCUGUCAAUUGCCACCUGUGACUGCUCCCAAACACCCCAUUAGCAGGAAAAGCAGGCAUCUGAGGACAGAAGAUGGCUCCUUACGCAUGGGUCCAGUCCCCCUACUUCUCCUGUUUGCCUAACUCCCAAGGAAUGAGCAGCUCCCCAGCUGUGCACGACCCCAGCGGCUCACACAAGGCAGCGUAGAGACCAGUCUCCACAUGGAGCCUAGAUCACCUGACUUUUUGAGUUUUUUGUUUUGUUUUCUUUUGGUUUUUUGUUUUUUUGGACUAGGGAACUUCAGAUUUUUUUUCUUUAAUUUUUUUUUUCACUGUGAAGUAAAAAAAAA